AAAAGCGUGGGAAGCAAACAGGACUAGAGCCCCUGGUAGCCCACGCCCUAAACGAGGUACACUAGUUGUUGGAAUGCUAGUCAUCUCAGUAACGCAGCUAACGCAUUAAGUGUACCGCCUGGGUAGUACUGUCGCAAGAUUAAAACUCAAAGGAGUAGACGGGGACCCGCACAAGCGGUGGAGCAUGUGGUUUAAUUCGAAGAUACGCGAAGAACCUUACCUGGUCUUGAGAUCCUAAGAACCUUAUAG
rnacentral:rRNA from 1 species